rnacentral:lncRNA from 1 species
UAAAUAUCUAAUAAAGCACAUAGUCACUUGUAGAAAUUGAACUAAUCAUCCUCCCUAUUUCAUCAUCAACUUGAGUAAAGAGAUCUAUUUGCUAUUUGAAUAAAUGCUAACUCCUAUUUCUCAUAUUUGUUUGACGACAUCCUAAAAAGUUCAAAUUUUCACAGAAUACUAUAAAAUAAAAAAGAGAGUUUGAAAAAAAAGACAUGCCUCCUUACACAACUUUCUCUUCAGCAUGGUGAAUUGAUAAGC